GACGAACGCUGGCGGCGUGCCUAAUACAUGCAAGUAGAACGCUGAAGAGAGGAGCUUGCUCUUCUUGGAUGAGUUGCGAACGGGUGAGUAACGCGUAGGUAACCUGCCUUGUAGCGGGGGAUAACUAUUGGAAACGAUAGCUAAUACCGCAUAACAAUGGAUGACACAUGUCAUUUAUUUGAAAGGGGCAAUUGCUCCACUACAAGAUGGACCUGCGUUGUAUUAGCUAGUAGGUGAGGUAACGGCUCACCUAGGCGACGAUACAUAGCCGACCUGAGAGGGUGCUCGGCCACACUGGGACUGAGACACGGCCCAGACUCCUACGGGAGGCAGCAGUAGGGAAUCUUCGGCAAUGGGGGCAACCCUGACCGAGCAACGCCGCGUGAGUGAAGAAGGGUUUCGGAUCGUAAAGCUCUGUUGUAAGUCAAGAACGAGUGUGAGAGUGGAAAGUUCACACUGUGACGGUAGCUUAACAGAAAGGGACGGCUAACUACGUG
rnacentral:rRNA from 1 species